rnacentral:rRNA from 1 species
CACGUAGUUAGCCGUCCCUUUCUGGUAAGCUACCGUCACAGUGUGAACUUUCCACUCUCACACCCGUUCUUGACUUACAACAGAGCUUUACGAUCCGAAAACCUUCUUCACUCACGCGGCGUUGCUCGGUCAGGGUUGCCCCCAUUGCCGAAGAUUCCCUACUGCUGCCUCCCGUAGGAGUCUGGGCCGUGUCUCAGCCCCAGUGUGGCCGAUCACCCUCUCAGGUCGGCUAUGUAUCGUCGCCUAGGUGAGCCAUUACCUCACCUACUAGCUAAUACAACGCAGGUCCAUCUUGUAGUGGAGCAAUUGCCCCUUUCAAAUAAAUGACAUGUGUCAUCCAUUGUUAUGCGGUAUUAGCUAUCGUUUCCAAUAGUUAUCCCCCGCUACAAGGCAGGUUACCUACGCGUUACUCACCCGUUCGCAACUCAUCCAAGAAGAGCAAGCUCCUCUCUUCAGCGUUCUACUUGCAUGUAUUAGGCACGCCGCCAGCGUUCGU